GACGAACGCUGGCGGCGUGCUUAACACAUGCAAGUCGAACGGAAAGGCCCUGCUUUUGUGGGGUGCUCGAGUGGCGAACGGGUGAGUAACACGUGAGUAACCUGCCCUUGACUUUGGGAUAACUUCAGGAAACUGGGGCUAAUACCGGAUAGGAGCUCCUGCUGCAUGGUGGGGGUUGGAAAGUUUCGGCGGUUGGGGAUGGACUCGCGGCUUAUCAGCUUGUUGGUGGGGUAGUGGCUUACCAAGGCUUUGACGGGUAGCCGGCCUGAGAGGGUGACCGGCCAGACGGGGACGCGGAUGCGGCCCGGACACGGGGGGGGGGCAGCAGCGGGAAAUAUGUGACAGUGGGCGGAAGGCGGACGGAGCAGGGUGGGGGGGGGUGUGACUGCCUCUGGUCAGCAAGCUGGUGUCGCGGGUGAAGAGGCGGGAGUGGAGGUAAGGGGCAAAGACGCACCGUCGAACUACGUGCCAGCGGCAUGUAUAAUACUCGGAAGCGCACUCGUCUACAC
rnacentral:rRNA from 1 species